AACGUAGGAGACAAACGUUAUCCGGAGUUACUGGGCGUAAAGGGCGUGUAGGCGGUCUGUUAAGUCUGGCGUGAAAGCUCUCGGCUAAACCGGGAGAGGUCGUUGGAUACCGGCAGACUAGAGGACGGUAGAGGCGUGUGGAAUUCCGGGUGUAGUGGUGAAAUGCGUAGAGAUCCGGAGGAACACCAGUGGCGAAGGCGACACGCUGGGCCGUACCUGACGCUAAAGCGCGACAGCAUGGGGAGCAAACGGG
rnacentral:rRNA from 1 species